rnacentral:rRNA from 1 species
GAUGAACGCUGGCGGCGUGCCUAAUACAUGCAAGUCGAGCGAAUGGAUUGAGAGCUUGCUCUUAUGAAGUUAGCGGCGGACGGGUGAGUAACACGUGGGUAACCUGCCCAUAAGACUGGGAUAACUCCGGGAAACCGGGGCUAAUACCGGAUAACAUUUUGAACCGCAUGGUUCGAAAUUGAAAGGCGGCUUCGGCUGUCACUUAUGGAUGGACCCGCGUCGCAUUAGCUAGUUGGUGAGGUAACGGCUCACCAAGGCAACGAUGCGUAGCCGACCUGGGAGGGUGAUCGGCCCAACUGGGACUGAAACACGGCCCAGACUCCUACGGGAGGCAGCAGUAGGGAAUCUUCCGCAAUGGACGAAAGUCUGACGGAGCAACGCCGCGUGAGUGAUGAAGGCUUUCGGGUCGUAAAACUCUGUUGUUAGGGAAGAACAAGUGCUAGCUGAAUAAGCUGGCACCUUGACGGUACCUAACCAGAAAGCCACGGCUAACUACGUGCCAGCCGCCGCAGUAA